UCGUAAUCGUAAUGGAAAAGUAUCAAAGAAAGAACAAAUAAUUUUAUUUACGUACUGUACUUUCUGUAAAACGUAUUUUAUUAUAAUGAAAUAUUCAUAACGAUAAAAUACGUUUUACAGAAAUAACAUGUUAUCUUAACUAUUUAUUGUCCAAAUGUACUUUGAACUGAGCUGAUUUUCAGUAGUAUGAAUUACAAACGGAACAGAAAAGACCUAUUGACUGAUUAUUUGAUUAUUAUUAAUUAAACAAAAUAUAAAAAUUUAUAUAGGCUGAUAUGAGAAUUAAUAAUGGCGGUUACCAGAACGCGUAGAAGCUUCAUAUAAUUUCCAAAAUCUGCAGAAAAAAUUACCUCUGAUGAAAAAUUGCAGUACUAAAUACUGGCUGGUUAUUGGUACUGAGUCUCUUUGUUACUGGCUUUAUGAAUCUGGAUAAUUAAAAAGUAUAAAAAACUAAAUUGAAUCAUCUUUCUUUAUUUAAAACCAGACGAAGUUAAUCUGUAGAAGUACAUCUGCAACAAUAUUCAGUACAAUCAAAUCCUUUGCGUGAUACACAUAAAAAAUCUCUAAAAAAAUUAAUUGAAAAAAAUCUUUGAAAAAUAAUCUUUUCCCAAAAUUAUACACGGCACUUUUUGGGUUACUCUUCGGAUAUUACUAUUUGCUCUUCGGACAACCUAUUUCUUCUCUCCUUAGUACUCUUCACAAGCCUAUAGCCGAAAAGAAUGUGUUGCGGACCGUGCGGAGGAGGUUGCUGCGGUGGUAGCUGCUGUGGUGGCUGCUGCUGCCCAUGCAUCACUAUAUACACGUGCUGUACCAAAAUUUGCUAGUGCUAGUGUUAAUAGCCACGAAGUCAUCGCAGACUGACCAUGGUAUCUGCAGCGAGUUCAAUGUGGGAGUACGGACUACGUAGUUUUUGCAGUCGACUGGUGUUCGUUUUUGUGGAAAUAAAUUAUUGAAUUAAGCGUA